GUUAUAAUAUUGACCAACACCCCGCUAGUUUCUGGUAAUCUAGUGUUGACCCUGAAAGAAAAAUCCAUAAGAAUACGCAUAAAUAGAUAGUAAAAUUAGGAGAUAAACAUCAUUAGAACAUGAAGUAAUUUACUUAUGAAUAUCUAUCUAUUAUU
rnacentral:sRNA from 1 species